rnacentral:rRNA from 1 species
UACGUAGGCAGCGAGCGUUGUUCGGAAUUACUGGGCGUAAAGAGUGUGUAGGCGGUGCUCCCAGUCUGUUGUGAAAUCUCCCGGCUUAACUGGGAGGGUGCAGCGGAAACUAGAGUGCUAGAGGGUGGGAGAGGUAAGCGGAAUUCCUGGUGUAGCGGUGAAAUGCGUAGAUAUCAGGAGGAACGCCUGUGGUGUAGACAGCUUACUGGACCACUUCUGACGCUGAGACACGAAAGCGUGGGUAGCAAACAGG